GGAAGUAAACGGCGGCGACAGGCGGCUGCGCGUCGCCGCGGCGACAUGACGUCAGUUAGGCACCCGAUCGACAAGUUGUCGCUGCAGCGAAUCCACCCACGAAGGGCAGCGGCGCGACCCAGAACAUACUGUGAAAGGAAGACAUACUUGGCUUAUGACUCCAGAGUCGAGCAUCCAUUCCCAUGGUAUCUUAAGGUCCUUAUAUCUUCCGCUUGCACUGUCCCUUACUCGCUCAGUGUUAUGAAUACCUUGUUCAAUUCUACAACAAGGGAAAGCACAAUUAGGUGUGGCCACUCUCCUGUCAUCAUGGAAGGAUGAUGCUUCCGACUCUAUGUUCUUCAGAUCGCGGUAGUUGAAUGCUGCUUCUCUCAAGGCAUCUGCUUUCUUCUCGGGCCAGUUGGGGAAUUGUUUUAGCACUGCUCUUUCAUCCACAAGCCAUGUGCAGGUAACUAAAUCGACGUACGGGAUGGCCUAAGAUGAUAGAGCUCCUUUACCAGCCAGAGCGAGGGGAGACACCUUUUGCUAAUAACGGGCAAGUAAAAGUUUUAAAUAAUAGGAAGAAAAAGAAACGAAGGGAAAGCUGACAAAACAGAGAAUAAAAUGGUUAAAUCCUAUGUGUUUUACUUCUGGCAUGUGCUUAGUAUUCGUUUGCCUUU